rnacentral:rRNA from 1 species
AACGAACGCUGGCGGCAGGCCUAACACAUGCAAGUCGAACGGGACCUUCGGGUCUAGUGGCGGACGGGUGAGUAACGCGUGGGAACGUGCCCUUUGGUUCGGAAUAGCCCCGGGAAACUGGGAGUAAUACCGGAUAAGCCCUACGGGGGAAAGAUUUAUCGCCAAAGGAUCGGCCCGCGUUGGAUUAGGUAGUUGGUGAGGUAAUGGCUCACCAAGCCGACGAUCCAUAGCUGGUUUGUGAGGAUGAUAAGCCACACUGGGACUGAGAAACGGCCCAGAGUCCUACGGGAGGCAGCAGUGGGGAAUCUUAGACAAUGGGGGAAACCCUGAUCUAGCCAUGCCGCGUGAUCGAUGAAGGCCUUAGGGUUGUAAAGAUCUUGCAGUGGGGAAGAUAAUGACUGUACCCACAGAAGAAGCCCCGGCUAACUCCGUGCCAGCCGCCGCCGUAACAC